GUCACGGAGAGUUUGAUCCUGGCUCAGGAUGAACGCUGGCGGCGUGCCUAACACAUGCAAGUGGAGCGACGAACCCGGACUUGUCCGGGGGCAAAGCCGCGAACGGGUGAGUAACACGUGGAUUAUCUGCCCCAAUGACCGGGACAACUCGAGGAAACUCGAGCUAAUACCGGAUGUGCUCUUCGGAGGAAAGGAAGCUUCGGCCUCCGCAUUGGGAUGAGUCCGCGGCGCAUUAGCUAGUUGGUGAGGUAAAGGCUCACCAAGGCGACGAUGCGUAGCUGGUCUGAGAGGACGAUCAGCCACACUGGAACUGAGACACGGUCCAGACUCCUACGGGAGGCAGCAGUGGGGAAUCUUGCGCAAUGCACGAAAGUGUGACGCAGCAACGCCGCGUGCGGGAAGAAGGUCUUCGGAUCGUAAACCGCUUUCAGUUGGGACGAGGGUUACACGGUGAAUAGCCGGCGUAACUGACGGUACCUUCAGAAGAAGCCCCGGCUAACUACGUGCCAGCAGCCGCGGUAAUACGUAGGGGGCAAGCGUUAUCCGGAAUCAUUGGGCGUAAAGCGCGUGUAGGCGGUUCCGUAAGUCCGCUCUGAAAGCCCAGGGCUCAACCCUGGGAGGCGGGUGGAUACUACGGAACUGGAGUACGGAAGAGGAGAUUGGAAUUCCUGGUGUAGCGGUGAAAUGCGCAGAUAUCAGGAGGAACACCAACAGCGAAGGCAGAUCUCUGGGACGUUACUGACGCUGAGACGCGAAAGCGUGGGGAGCAAACAGGAUUAGAUACCCUGGUAGUCCACGCCGUAAA
rnacentral:rRNA from 1 species